UCCCUUGUGGCUUACUCGGUAAAGCAUCUGCCUGCAGAGGAGGAGACCCAGGUUCGAUCCCUGGGUGGGUAA
rnacentral:tRNA from 1 species